UGAGCGACAUCUUUCUGUGGCUUGCACAGUG
rnacentral:piRNA from 1 species